UACGUAGGGACCGAGCGUUGUCCGGAUUCAUUGGGCGUAAAGAGCUCGUAGGCGGCUGUCAAGUCGAACGUGAAAACUCGGAGCUCAACUCCGAGCCUGCGUUCGAUACUGGACGGCUAGAGUCUGGUAGGGGGAUCUGGAAUUCCUGGUGUAGCGGUGGAAUGCGCAGAUAUCAGGAGGAACACCGGUGGCGAAGGCGGGUCUCUGGGCCGAUACUGACGCUGAGGAGCGAAAGCGUGGGGAGCGAACAGG
rnacentral:rRNA from 1 species